GACGAACCGUGCGAACGUUGUUCGGAAUCACUGGGCUUAAAGGGCGCGUAGGCGGCAGUUCAAGUCCGGGGUGAAAUCCUCCAGCUCAACUGGAGAAGUGCCUUGGAUACUGGAUUGCUCGAGGGAGGUAGGGGUCGAGGGAACUUCUGGUGGAGCGGUGAAAUGCGUUGAUAUCAGAAGGAACGCCGGUGGCGAAGCGCUACGACUGGACCUCUUCUGACGCUGAGGCGCGAAAGCUAGGGGAGCAAACGGGAUUAAGAAACC
rnacentral:rRNA from 1 species